CCUCUCCUGAUGAUGUCAGGAGGAGGGGGCGUGACUUUCACUGCUCUUCUCCCAGGACCGCUGGGGAGUCUGGGAGAAGAGCAGAAGAAGUCACGCCCCCUCCUCCUGACAUCAUCCUUCCUGUAAGACUCAGGGAGGGGGGAAUACACUUUAGUUUUUUUUUUUUUUAU